UACGUUAACGAACGAGACCUUAACCUGCUAAAUAGCCAGGUCGGCUUCUGCUGAUCGCCGGCUUCUUAGAGGGACUGUCAGCGUCUAGCUGACGGAAGUUUGAGGCAAUAACAGGUCUGUGAUGCCCUUAGAUGUUCUGGGCCGCACGCGCGCUACACUGACGGAGCCAGCGAGUACUUCCUUGUCCGAAAGGUCCGGGUAAUCUUGUUAAACUCCGUCGUGCUGGGGAUAGGGCAUUGCAAUUAUUGCUCUUCAACGAGGAAUCCCUAGUAAGCGCAAGUCAUCAGCUUGCGUUGAUUACGCCCCUGCCCUUUGUACACACCGCCCGUCGCUAAUACCGAUUGAAUGGAUA
rnacentral:rRNA from 1 species